UCACUCCACCUCUUUCAAGCCCUAAACCAUGGAAACAACCAUCAACUUUAUCCUUCAUCUCUCUCAAACCCAUCAAGUUCACAACAAAAACAACAAAAAUCUCAGCUGCAGAUGAGAAAACAGAAGCAGCAUCAGUUACAACAAAAGAAGAAGCUCCUGCUGCACCAGUUGGUUUUACUCCACCUGAACUAGACCCAAACACACCUUCACCAAUCUUUGGAGGAAGCACUGGUGGAUUGUUACGUAAGGCACAAGUUGAAGAAUUCUAUGUGAUCACAUGGGAGUCACCUAAGGAACAAAUCUUUGAGAUGCCAACUGGUGGUGCAGCCAUAAUGAGAGAAGGUCCUAACCUUCUUAAGUUAGCAAGGAAAGAACAGUGUUUGGCUUUAGGAAAUAGAUUAAGGUCUAAGUACAAGAUUAAGUAUCAGUUUUACAGGGUUUUUCCUAAUGGUGAGGUUCAAUAUUUGCAUCCUAAGGAUGGU
rnacentral:lncRNA from 1 species